rnacentral:rRNA from 1 species
CGGAGAUGAAGCCGAGGCUCGAGACAGAGGCUCCUUAACCGCCUCUACUUCGACUUCGCCAGGCUUCUCCUGGAGCUAGACUACGUUUUCGUCUAGCUUUCACGGGUUCCAUUGGCUUCAAAUGUUAUGCUUUAUUACAUAGAAAGUAGCAACAAACUCGAAAUCAACAUUAGAGCCCGGAUAUACUAUUGUUGACGGUGGUGCCUCGAACUCAGGGAGUUCCGGCUCGAUGUUUCUCGAGCCGUUCUUCGGCUCGUCAUCUUCCGACGCCGCCGGUUCCGGUUGUUUCUCGACCGGCUUCUUUCCCACCGGACGCCGUUCCUGGUCCGGACCCAGUGGCUCCAGCUCCUGUCGGACUUCCCGCAGAUGAACCUUGCCCUGCGGGAGGUCCUCCUGUUCUUCUUUCGCCAACAACUAAAGCUCUUCGACUAUAACUGCGUGCGGCUCCAGGUCAGGGUUCGGGCCCGGCUGGCACUCCACGAAGUCGUUCACUCCGUUUAGCGGCGGCUCCGGAAGCGUCUAGACGGAGCUUCACGUAACCUGCGGCUGGCAGUGAUGCGGUGGGUUCUACCCGUAUACGGUGCCUCUCCCGCAAGACCGUCGUUAAGGUCCGCGGCAGCGUAAGCGGUGACUAGUUACUAGUUUACUUCGUCAACUACGUCGAGAUAGCGUACCGCUUUUGCCGGUACCUCCUGGAAACACAAGUAGACACCGGACACCUCGGCGACGGUUGGUCAAAGAAGCCGGACAACCGGGCUGGAAUUCUGUAGCCUGGGGCUCGAGAAACAACCUUUACUAGGCGCACGGACCUUCCACGGGUUUACCGCAUGCGGAGGCACUUCUGGGUGAUGGGAGCGUAACUGCGCUCCGACCACCGAAGCCCCGGCGGCCUCCCCUUCUGAGUCUGCAGCCUCCUCAAAAACCGACUUUACUACCUUCCGUGCGCCUAUUGGCUCGGUGCGACACCGGUCUUGUGAAACAUAAAAAUCGAACAUGAAACCUUACGGCUUCAAAAUUACUACAUUUCCCUUGUUCGAAAACCCAAUUCAAAUUUACUCAAGCCGAAAUUCAAGGCUACACG